rnacentral:rRNA from 1 species
AGCGAACGCUGGCGGCAGGCCUAACACAUGCAAGUCGAACGAACCUUUCGGGGUUAGUGGCGGACGGGUGAGUAACACGUGGGAACGUGCCUUUAGGUUCGGAAUAACUCAGUGAAACUUGUGCUAAUACCGAAUGUGCCCUUCGGGGGAAAGAUUAAUCGCCUUUAGAGCGGCCCGCGUCUGAUUAGCUAGUUGGUUGAGGUAAUGGCUCACCAAGGCGACGAUCAGUAGCUGGUCUGAGAGGAUGAUCAGCCACAUUGGGACUGAGACACGGCCCAAAAUCCUACGGGAGGCAGCAGUGGGGAAUCUUGCGCAAUGGGCGAAAGCAUGAAGCAGCCAUGACGGGUGAAUGAUGAAGGUCUUAGGAUUGUAAAAUUCUUUAACCGGGGACGAUAAUGACGGUACCCGGAGAAGAAGCCCCGGCUAACUUCGUG